rnacentral:rRNA from 1 species
UACGUAGGGGGCUAGCGUUGUCCGGAAUCAUUGGGCGUAAAGCGCGCGUAGGCGGCCCGGUAAGUCCGCUGUAAAAGUCCAGGGCUCAACCCUGGAAAGCCGGUGGAUACUGUCGGGCUCGAGUCCGGAAGAGGCGAGUGGAAUUCCUGGUGUAGCGGUGGAAUGCGCAGAUAUCAGGAAGAACACCAACGGCGAAGGCAGCUCGCUGGGACGGUACUGACGCUGAGACGCGAAAGCGUGGGGAGCGAACAGG